rnacentral:lncRNA from 1 species
UUUUUUUUUUUUUAAAGUUUCAAGCAUUACUCUAAGCGUAUUAAAAUGAUGUAUACUAAGUCAUCAACUUUUUGAGUCAAAUUUUAUGGUUCUAACUCUUAUUUUUAUUUAAUAUUUAUCAACUUAUUACUUAUAUCAUUAUGUUAACAAUACAUAUAAUAAUCGUCUCACUUAAAGUAUGUUUUUCAAUGUUGAGUUGAUAAAAUCUUAUCUAAAACUAGUAACUGAAAAAACAAUAUUAAGUACUAAUAAUUUUCAUCUAAAUAGUGUUAAUUUUUUAUUUAUUUUUAAUAAAUAUGUAUAUGAAGUGUAUUUAUAUUUUAGGCCGCGAAUUGAAAUUUCGCUUUAGGCCCCCAAUUACGUUGAGCCGCCCCUGCCCACUCCAUUUUAUCUAUUACUCAUCGGAUCAACGGAGAGAAAUCCCGAGUAGCACGGAGUGUGUAGUAAACUAAGAUCACUUGUGAAAAACAAUGACUUUGACCAUCAAUUACUACAAAUUUGAUAAGGAUUAUCAAUUUGUCACAACUCUUCCCUAAUUUCAUACGAUUAAUAAUCAUGACGAUUGCACGCUCAUCUCCAUUAUUGUCACAGUUGGCAAUAUUACUAGGAAACAAAAAAAUUAUUGGAGGUUCUUUAUUAGCACCAUUAUCGGAAGGAUUACACAAGUAACACAAUUAUUCAACUAAUAAAAUACAAUUCUAAAUCUAAUUAGUAACGUUUGAAAUAAUAAUAACAACAACAAAAAAGUAUUAAAGAAAAGUCAUCAUUAAAAAGAUACCCAAAAAAAAACAAAAUGUUGCAAAAAGAAUGCAAUCCAAGAAUAUGAAUUACAAUGAGUCCAUAAAAAUUAAGCUAAAAUUAAAACGUAAACUCUCAUUUUCCCAUCCUAAUUAAAAAUGUCUACUUCUUUUCAACAAGUUUCUCAAUCAGGUCAGCUGCAUCUUGAACUGUUACAAUAUUCUCAGAGUUCUCUUCUUCUACUGCAAUCCCAAACUCUUCUUCUAGGGCCAUCACAAUUUCCACCUGUUCGCGCGUUACAAACACUUAAUAGGUUCAAUCUUGUACAGUAUAUAUAAGGUUAAUUUUUUAAUAUACGUAUAGUAACUAGAUGUUGAAUUGUUUUUCACGAAAAUCCUAAAUCCGACACAGAAAGUACUCACAGUGUCAAGAGAGUCGGCUCCGAGGUCCUUAGUGAAAGUACUUUCAGGGCUGACCUUAGUUUCUGCUGGUAAAGCCAGUUGUUUCCUCACUAUGCUUAUUACCUUAUCAAUUGUCUCUGCCUUUGCCUGCUCAUCAUGCAGAAUGGAUCAAUCAAUAAAAAGAGUGAAACUAAUACUGUACUAAUUCUGUUUCAAUUUGUUUGUCUGAUAAUGACUUGACAUAUAUAUAGCGUUUAAGAAAGUAAAAAGACUACUGAUUCUUGCGAUUCUGUUGAAUGUACUAUUUUGCUCUGUUUGAACCCGGAUAUAAGUGUAAGUGUGAAUUAAAAUCAAAUGUGGUUGUAGCAUAGCAGAGUGGAGCAGCCGCGAUAUAAAGAAUACUUCUAGGCAUUUGUAUUAAAACAUGUUAGCCUACAUAUGCCUAUUGUCGAUUGGGAACAAAUAUUUGGCCAACUUUGCAUCGAUUUAUGUUUUAAUACAAAUUAAUGGAGUGAUAGUUCAUGUAGAUAACAGAACAAUGGGUAGUUAAGGUAUGAAACUCAUGAAAAAAGUAGUAAUAGUUUAGGUAUGUUUUCGACUAUUAUACAAAUGUUAACUAAAUAUAUGUGCAACAAAAAAGAAAUGGAGAAGAAGAAUUUACAGCUGCAACACGAAAGCGGGAUGUUCUGAGAGAAGGGAAACCAGCACUACUCCUUCCCCAACCCACUGAAACCAACUUCACAGUACCUCUGUUUAUCUGCACACAUUUUGCCCAAAAUUAGAAGUUUGAACGAACAGUCAAAACUCUCUAUAACAAAGUCAUUUACCGCGAUAGUAGAAAUUUUGUUCCAAUGAAAAUUUAGUCGUUACAGUGAAAUAUUGUUAUAGAAAUUUGAAAUAGUAGUAAUGUUGACCUGAGAUGUGUUGACCUGAUUGGCAGAAAAACAAAAUCUGAGAGAUGUAGCUGAAAGACUAGCCAUAUUAUGAAGAAUGAGAAAUGCAGAGAGAAGAAAUGGAGUUUGUUUGAAGAUUUAAAGAUGAGUGCAAUAUUUGAAGUCACAGUAAUAAUAUUAUACAAAGAAGAAUGAGUGGUGAAUAUUUAGUUUGCAAAUCCUAUCCAAAUUACUGUGUAUGUUGCUUUCUUGUGUGACAUAGCGGGGAUGCUUUGCUAGCUAAUGUUUUGUCUCCGUUCUCCCUUUCUCAACUUGACCACGUGCAAGUAGUCGUAUAUAUUUGAUCGAACUCAAUAAUUUUGACAAACAAAUCUUAUUGCAUUGGUUCAUUAUAUUGCUUUUUUUAUUUUUUUAAAUAUGUAUAAAUGACUUAGUAUUCAGUAAUUUAAAGUUAGACAAUGAUCUCUUUUGCUUAAAAUGAUAAUUAUAUAUGAAAUGUUAGACAAUGGUCUAAAAUUUCAUAAGUUAUUCAAAUGUUUACUGACAAUCUCUUAUUUCGUAUGUAAGAUAGAGAAAUAUAUGAGAAAAUAUUAGAUUUGAAUCUAAUAUUAUCUUGAAAGAUAAUGUCUUCAGAAUGAGAUAUUACUUUUGAUGGGCAUUGGGCUCUCAAAGCAAAUUGGGCCUCGAAUACCUACCAACAUUUUUCAAUUGGGUCAUAUGCUCAAAUGCAACUUCUAAUCCCUAUUUCAUUUGUAUUUUUUUUUUCAUAUAUAAUGUGAUCCUAGAUUUUUCCAUUAUAACUUUUGAUACAUAUUUUUUUUACUAAAUACAUAUUUAGCCCUUUGAUCUUGUUAAUUUUUUUCAUUUAAACACCUCAAGCGUAAUCUAUCAAACACCUUAUAUCAAUUGAAAACAUGUUAAUUCAAUAGAAAUUAAUAAGACAUGACGUGUGUAUCGUACCUCUUUGAAAAGUGUGAAAAAUCUAGAUUAAAAACCUAUUUCUUAAAAAAAAUCAUCUCCCUUAUCUACACCUUGUUGCUACAACUUCGUUAUCAUAUCCACUAUCACCAUCAUAUUUCAACCAAGAAGAAAGUCAUUGACCAGUCAUAGAAACCAUUACACAACUCCAUCGUGAUCAAUUUCAAGACGUUACAUUCAAAAGUCAUUGAAUUUUACACCGUGUUCAUGAGUCAAAACUUCUGUACAUAUGAGAAAACACUAUAACUUAUGUCAUUUAAAAACAUACAAAUUAAACACAAACGAUUGACAAUAUAUGACGCGUGUAUUAUACCUUUUUUUCUAUUAUAUCUUUUUUAAAAGCAUGAACAACUUUUUUUUUCUCCAUACCUUCAUUUACUGUUUGCCGCCGCUACUCCAUCGCCAUAGCUAUUACUGCCACCAUAUUUCGACCAAGAAGAAAUCUAUUGACCAAUCAUAAAAACCACCACACAACUGUAGUAUUAUCAAAUUCAAGAUGUUAUAAAAGACCCAGAAGAUACUAAAGCUUACAACAUGUUCACGAGUCAAAGAUUCUGUGCAUUUGAGAAAACACUAUAACUAAUUAUGUCAGUUAAAAAUGUAUCAAAAUUAAACACAAACGACAAACAAGACAUGACGCGUGUAUUAUAACUCUUUUACUCGCGCGAAAUACCCAUUUUUUCUCUCCAUCUCCUUCAUCUACUAUUUGCCGCCACCACUCCAUCACCAUAUCCAACUACCACGAAGAAAGUCAUCAACCAAUUACAGAAAUCAUCACACAACUCCAUCUUCAUCAAAUUCAAAUUGUAAAAAAACUCAAAAACCAUUGAAAUUUACAAUCGUGUUCAUAAAUCAAAAAAUUCUCUACAUUCUUAGAAACAACAUUAUAACUUGUGUAGUCUCAACUUCUUCAUCUUCUUCCUCUUUUUUUUCCUCUUAAUUUUGUGUUAUUAAAUAUUGAAAUAAUGAACAAAUAAUUUUGUUAGAAAUCUAUAGAAUAUUUCACAAAAUAAUAUACUUAUACUAUACAAUAAAAAGGAAAUUGGGACCGACCUACCAAUAAAAUAAUCAAGCAUCCUGUCCAAGUAAAUAUGUCAGCUGUCCAAUUCGCUUGUUCACCAAGGCGAAUUUUUAGCCCUAUUUAUACAUUUCAUUACCCCUCUUUUCUUCAUCCUUCAUCAUCUUCUCCAGAGAUAAUUCAGUAGCCGACUCCGGAGAAUCGCAAACAUCAAAACUCCUCUGUUUCUGGAUUUUGUGUUCGGGCUGUUGAUCUUGUUUUAUCGAAUCAGGUAUUUAACAUUUUCUUUUGAUAUUUAGGGUUUGAAAUUGAAUUCCUUUUUUUCAAUUUUCUGAAUUUUUUCCCUUUUUUUUCUGUAUAGAAAUCUGUCGGUGGAUAGGUCAAUAAGAAAUUCAAGUCAGAAUAUGAGCUUUCCUGCACAAAACAAUAGAAGGAAUAACAACAGUAAUCGACCUAGAAACAUUAAUAAUAAUCCUGUUGUUCAAAGUGGUGGUGCUCGUCGUGAGUGGGUAGCUAGGGGAUCCACUCCAACCAACACUGUUCCAUUUUCAACUGCCCCUGUUACCCCGGUAUCAACAACCACUGUUGUGACCCCUGGGUUUGGUGGGAAUGGAAGAGACAAUGAUAAUGUGCCAGUUGUGCCGGUUAAUCGAUUUCAAAAUCAAAAUCAGACCUAUGUGGAACCCAAAUUCAAUAGGGGGACAUAUGGGAAUCAGAGGGAAAGGGGCAGGGGGAGCUAUAAUCAUCAGGAGAACAGGAUGGAGAGGCCGGUCAGGGAGGUCAGUGGGAGGAUUAAUCAAGAGCAGGUGAAGGAUCCUAAUUUGCCUCAACUUGUGCAAGAAAUAGAGGAGAAGCUGUUGAAGGGUAACAUUGAGUGCAUGAUAUGCUAUGAUAUGGUGAGGAGGUCUGCGCCCAUGUGGUCAUGUUCGAGCUGCUACUCGAUUUUCCAUCUUCAUUGUACCAAGAAAUGGGCAAGAGCUCCCACUUCUGUUGACACAUCUGCAGAGAAGAAUCAAAGGUUUAAUUGGCGUUGCCCAGGUUGUCAAUCAGUCCAGCUCACUUCAUCCAGGGACAUACGGUAUCUUUGCUUUUGUGGGAAGAGGCAAGACCCCCCUUCAGAUUUAUACUUGACUCCACAUUCAUGUGGAGAGCCUUGUGGCAAGAAACUUGAGAAGGAGCUUCCAGGGAAUGGUCUGAGUGAAGAGGAUCUUUGCCCUCAUGUUUGUGUCCUACAAUGCCAUCCUGGUCCUUGUCCACCUUGUAAGGCAUUUGCUCCAGCUAGAAGUUGCCCCUGCGGGAAGGAAGUAAUUACCACUCGCUGCUCUGAUCGGAAGUCCGUUCUUACAUGUGGACAGCAGUGUGGUAAGCUUCUUGACUGUGGGCGUCAUAGGUGUGAACAAACUUGCCAUGUUGGUCCUUGUGGCCAUUGUCAAAUUGUUGUGGAUGCCUAUUGCUUUUGUAAGAAGAAAACAGAGUCUGUUCUUUGUGGAGAUAUGGGUGUGAAAGGAUCUAUCAAGAUGGAGGAUGGCGUCUUUUCAUGCAAUUCAGUUUGUGGAAAGAAGCUUAGUUGUGGAAACCACAUCUGCCGUGAGCUCUGCCAUCCAGGGCCAUGUGGGGACUGUGCUUUGUUGCCUAGCAAGGUCAAGGCAUGCUGUUGCGGUAAAACCAGCUUGGAAGAAGAAAGGCACAGUUGUUUGGAUCCAAUUCCAACCUGUUCCAAGGUCUGCGGAAAGCGCCUCCGUUGUGGGGUACAUCGCUGUGAAGCUGUGUGCCAUUCUGGUGACUGUGCACCAUGUCUUGUUCCUGUGAAUCAACGCUGCCGCUGUGGGUCAACUUCUCGAACAGUAGAGUGUUACAGAACGCAGGCAGAAGAUGAGCAGUUCACUUGUGAUAGACCUUGUGGGCAAAAGAAGAACUGUGGAAGGCAUCGAUGUAGUGAGCGAUGUUGCCCUCUUUCUAAUCCAAAAAACUCCAUCACGGGUGGUUGGAAUCCUCAUUUUUGUUCAAUGCCGUGUGAGAAGAAGCUUAGAUGUGGGCAGCAUUCUUGUGAGUCACUUUGUCACAGUGGUCACUGCCCUCCCUGCCUUGAGACAAUUUUCACCGAUUUGACUUGUGCUUGUGGGAGAACAUCAAUCCCUCCUCCGCUACCUUGUGGCACACCUCUUCCUUCGUGUCAGUUACCAUGCUCGGUUUCUCAGCCUUGUGGCCACCCACCUACUCACAGCUGCCAUUUUGGGGACUGCCUGCCAUGUGCUGUUCCUGUAGCAAAAGAGUGCGUUGGUGGACAUGUAAUUUUGAGAAAUAUACCUUGCGGAUCAAAGGACAUCAGGUGUAACAAGCUUUGUGGGAAGACCAGGCAGUGUGGCUUGCACGCAUGUGCUAGAACUUGUCAUCCUUCACCAUGUGAUGUUUCUGCCGGACCCAGCAACGGCUCCAGAGACUCUUGUGGGCAGACGUGUGGUGCUCCUAGAAGAGAUUGCAGGCACUCAUGUACUGCUCUUUGUCACCCCUCUUCUUCAUGUCCUGAUGUUAGAUGUGAGUUUCCUGUUACUAUUACUUGUUCUUGUGGCCGGAUCACAGCAAAUGUUCCUUGUGAUGCUGGAGGUCAGAUCGUUGACUCUGUUUUCGAAGCUUCUAUAAUCCACAAGCUGCCUUCAUCUCUUCAACCUAUUGAAUUAAAUGGGAAGAAGGUUCCUCUUGGUCAGAGGAAACUUACUUGUGAUGAUGAGUGUGCAAAGAUGGAGAAAAAAAAGGUUCUUUCCGAUGCUUUUGGUAUAACUCCCCCUAAUUUGGAGGCCCUCCAUUUUGGUGAGAAUGCAGCUGUCUCUGAAGUGCUGGGGGAGCUUCUUAGGCGGGAUGCUAAGUGGGUGUUGUCUAUAGAGGAAAGGUGCAAGUUUUUGGUUCUUGGCAGGAGCAGAGGGGGGGUGAACGCGCUCAAAGUUCAUGUGUUUUGCCCAAUGUCGAAAGAAAAGCGGGAUGCAAUUAGACUGAUAGCUGCAAGGUGGAAGCUUUCAGUAAAUGCAGCUGGUUGGGAACCCAAGAGAUUCAUCGCUGUACAUGUUACACCCAAGUCCAAAGCUCCAACGCGUAUACUUGGUCCCAAAGGUUGUACUGUCAAUAACAUUGCUCAGCCUGCUGUUUUUGAUUCUCUGGUGGAUAUGGAUCCAAGGCUUGUUGUGGCUUUGUUUGACUUGCCAAGAGAUGCAGACAUUAGUGCGUUAGUUCUCAGGUUUGGUGGUGAGUGUGAGCUUGUCUGGUUGAAUGACAAGAAUGCCUUGGCUGUGUUCAAUGAUCCUGCCCGAGCAGCAACAGCUAUGAGAAGGCUAGACCAGGGGUCGGCCUAUUGUGGUGCUGCUGUAGUUCAUCAGAGUGGUGUUGCAUCAGCAGUGGCAUCCGCUACUAAUGUUUGGGGAGUCUCUGGAGGAGCGAAGGACGGGGGAGGAGUUGCAGCUCUUAAGGGUAAUCCAUGGAAGAAGGCUGUAGUCCAGGAGCCUCAUUUGAGGGAGAGUCUAUGGGAUGCCGAUGAAUGGUCCAAGAAUCCCACUGAUUUAGCAGCCCCUUCUGCCUGGAGGGCGAAUGAAGCUCCACCUACUGCCUCGUCUAAUAGGUGGAGUGUCUUAGAGCCUGAAAUUACUUCCAGCUUGCCCAGGGUGUCUAUUACGAUCCAGAAACCUGUUACUGAGACAGAAGUGGGGGGUUCAGUUUUACCCCCCAAACCUCAAGAUGUGGGGAUUGACGAUAUGGCAGAUGUAGUGGACGAUUGGGACAAGGCUUACGAUUGAGAGCUCCUGGAAAUGCAUAUUGUUUUCGCUGGCCAAUUAUUUCUUCCAUUUUUCUUUUUAGUGCUCAGACAGGAGUUGGUUUAGUUAUGUUUAGUAGCUCCUGUUUUAAAGGGAGAGUGAUGUUUCCUUUAUGGUUCAAAAACACUACUCCUUUAGCCUUGGUGCCAAUAUCCCCAAUGAAGGGAGAAACAUAUUAGUAGUUGUUGGUGUAAUGUACCAUUUGGUCAGUGUUCUAGGAUGCUGCUUGAUACCAUUAGUAAAAUCCAGACUUGUUAAUCUUCCAUUCAUAUGAAUUGUGUGUGAUGGGAUGAGCUUUUUUCUUCACCUGAGAUGCUGCUUUGUUUUAUAUUAAAACAGAAGGGAUGUAAGAAGCCUUCGUGUUGGUGUCAUGUUAUGUGUCCAUUUAGAUAUUUCUGAAGUCCAACUUCUGUGCUCUAUGAAAUAAUGGAGAUAACUGAUAGGCAAGGAUUUAUGUCUCUGUCAAUAAAGGGGUGUGCAUUUGGUGUUUUACGUUGUUCUAAAAAUUUUGGUUUGGCUCAAGUUUUCAAUGUAUUAUUCAGUUAUUCGGUUGUCAUAUAAGAAAAUAAUAUAAUCGAAUUGUUAUAUUUCAAAGACGUAAAAAAGAAUAAUUAUUAUAAAGAACGAGAUGAGCAAUUCUGGACCUUUUAAAUUAUCUAGGAUUAGAUUUGAAACUUUUAGGCCAUUUUUGUCCCUUUUCUGUAUAGAGAAUAAGCUUUUAUAUCAAUUGGGCUAAAAAAGAGAUUGUAGUGAUACCAACAACAAAAUCGACAUAUUCGGUGAAAUUCCACAAUGCAGUGGAAAUGGAAGUGAGUGCUUUGCAAAAAUGAUACCAGAGAGAGAGGUGUAGAAAAGAAUGCAAGUAUAUUCUGCAUCUGCAAUUACAUAUGUACACAAUACAUGAACUGUGAUCUGUCAGUUCCUGACUUUCCUCAACAAAUACAGGGGGGUGAAAAGAAAAAAAACCCCAACUAUAGAAUCUAUACAUCAAACAUAACAGUGAUACCAACUGCUACUCGAUCUGUGGGGUAACUGGAAAAAAAAGAAGAAAAAUUGCGUGAACUUUUAUCAUUCAACAGGUUGAUACAUUGCGAAAGGAACAUGCAUGACCAGAGGUAAACUAUGUCACUUCUGCAAAUCAUCUUUGCUUGGCUUUGAAGAAUAGUUCUUUCAACAAACCAUCAUAGAAGGUUGCUCCAACUGCUUAUUGUUUUGGGACUUCUGCAGGUUUCAGACCUUUAAAGAUCUUUACUAAACCUCCUCUUAGCCGCAUGUCAAUAAUCAUGUAAGAUACACUAGUAGCUUGUCACAUAAACGUUAUGCGCGUGUAUGAUAACCUAUAACCUAAGAAAAACAGCAAAAUGUGGUUUAAACGCAAGUUGCAA